AUUUUGUCAAUUGUGCAUUAUAUAUGGCCUAGUAUUUUAUAAAAAUGAUUUGGUCCAAUUUUGCAACAAUUAUUUGGUAGUUCCUUCACAAAAAAACCUCCUUUUGGGCACUCGAAAAAAGAAAAAUGAAUUUUCCGUGCAAAGAAAAUGAAAACUUCCUUAGGCAAUAUUGUUCGGAAUUACAAGAUGCACCCUUGUGCAAAAUAUGAGAUCAUUUGAACAAACUAUGCCAUGAAUGUGGCCAUAAGAUUGAUCAUUUGGCUUGAAAGCCAUGAAUCUUCACGCAUGAUAGCUCAUUUCUGAGAACACUUUUUUAAAAUAAUUACCGUAUUACAAGUUUAUUGUUUUUCCUGGAAACUUGGUCACAUAUAAUGACACAAUGCGAAGGUUUUCCAAUUUUUUGAUUUUUUUUUGAAUUUUGUGUGCCCGUUUUAAAAUGCGGUCAAAACAGCGGGCUUGACCGUUCCUAGCUAUUGGUUGAAUCUUGGAAAUUUUUUGGUGUUUCUAUGAUUAAAUAGAUACUUAUUUACCUAUAAAUGAUUUUUGAGAAAAAUAAAGAGCAAAAUAUGAGGUAGCUACAGUUCAAAUUUGACCCGUUUCCAUCUAAAUCGACGGUAAUUUGUCUUUUUCACCAAAGGUAGAUCAAAACUUUUUUCACCCAACCAUUUUGUCAAUUGUGCAUUAUAUAUGGCCUAGUAUUUUAUAAAAAUGAUUUGGUCCAAUUUUGCAACAAUUAUUUGGUAGUUCCUUCACAAAAAAACCUCAUUUUGGGCACUCGGAAAAUGAAAAAUGAAUUUUCCGUGCAAAGAAAAUGAAAACUUCCUUAGGCAACAUUGUUUGGAAUUUCAAGAUGCACCCUUGUGCACAAUAUGAGAUCAUUU
rnacentral:lncRNA from 1 species